UACGGGGGGGGCAAGCGUUGUUCGGAAUUACUGGGCGUAAAGGGCUCGUAGGUGGCCAACUAAGUCAUGCGUGAAAUCCCUCGGCUUAACCGGGGAACUGCGUCUGAUACUGGAUGGCUUGAGUGGUGGAGAGGGAAGUGGAAUUCCUGGUGUAGAGGUGAAAUUCGUAGAUAUCAGGAGGAACACCAGUGGCGAAGGCGGCUUCCUGGACACUAACUGACGCUGAGACGCGAAAGCGUGGGGAGCAAACAGG
rnacentral:rRNA from 1 species